CGUAGGGUGCGAGCGUUAAUCGGAAUUACUGGGCGUAAAGCGUGCGCAGGCGGUGAUGUAAGACAGAUGUGAAAUCCCCGGGCUCAACCUGGGAACUGCAUUUGUGACUGCAUCGCUGGAGUGCGGCAGAGGGGGAUGGAAUUCCGCGUGUAGCAGUGAAAUGCGUAGAUAUGCGGAGGAACACCGAUGGCGAAGGCAAUCCCCUGGGCCUGCACUGACGCUCAUGCACGAAAGCGUGGGGAGCAAACAGGAUUAGAUACCCUGGUAGUCCACGCCCUAAACGAUGUCAACUGGUUGUUGGGUCUUCACUGACUCAGUAACGAAGCUAACGCGUGAAGUUGACCGCCUGGGGAGUACGGCCGCAAGGUUG
rnacentral:rRNA from 1 species